ACUGUGAAAAUCUUUCUUUUAUUACUGUCUCUUGUGGCAAAAUAACAUUUUAUACAAAUAAUAGAAACUGUCCCACCUGGGCCUCUGUCAAAGAGAGAAGGGAUUGUUGUUAAGCUUGACAGGAACAUGCAAAUCCCAUUUGAGGAGCCACAAUGAGAAACAGAAGGUGAGGAGAGAGUGCUAACAGCACUGGCAUCUUUCUGCCAAUGAGGAGGUGGGAACAAUGGCAAUGCAGCUUUCCCCUGCAGCAUAAGGGACAGAGCCACACGUAAGGCACCUGGAUUUACAGUGGACGCCAGUUCUGAGAGUGGCCGGUCUGGUGAUAAGGAACCCUCUCCACAGGAGGAAUGGUCUCUCCCCUCUCGGGGCUGAAUCCAAGGCCAGCACACAGAGGUAAGCUAGGACCUUCUCAGUGAGAAAGCUGCCAGCAUGUGGCAUUGCCAAGACUCUGGCCUGGUACAAAGCACUGGGCCAAGGUUCAGGGCCACUCGCCCUAGAGCCCACACAGGGAGCAGCACUGGUGGUGGAUGGACAGGAACUUCUGUGGCCACACACUGUCUCUUCCGU
rnacentral:antisense_RNA from 1 species